rnacentral:tRNA from 1 species
AGGAUACAUUAUACCCGUCAGGCUCAUAACCUGAAGGUCGUAGGUUCAAAUCCUAC